rnacentral:lncRNA from 1 species
GGCUUCUUGAUCCUAUGUGUUGUAUUGAGUGUUGGUCACUGGUCUUUGGGAAGCUUGGACAGAAGUGGGGCAGCCAUGGAGCUGCUGACUGGGACUGGCCUGUGGCCCGUGGUCAUAGUCACAGUCAUCUUCAUAUUACUGGUGGACAUGUUGCACCGGUGCCAGCGCUGGACUUCUUGCUGCCCACCAGACCCUGUGCCAUGGCCUGUGCUGGGUAACCUGCUGCAGGUGGACCUGGAUAACAUGCCAUAUAACUUGUACAAGAUGUGUCUGCAGGUGUGGUCCUUGCUCCUUAUGGGCCUGAGUGGAAAGAGCAGAGGUGAUUCUCUGCGUCGACCCUGUGCAACUUCAGCCUGGGCAAGAAAUCACUGGAGCAGUGGGUGAUGGAAGAGGUUGGACACCUCUUUGAUGUCUUCACUGCCCAUGCUGAGGAGGCUGUAGACAAGAGAUUUGGAAAGAACACAUCUAGAAGUGUCCACCACAGUAAUAGGAGCCUGGAGAUUGACAUACAGCAAAAGGAAGUGAGAAGCUGACCAAGGUCAGGGCUUCUAGAAGCUGAGACCCUGGCCCUCUGCCCACAUGGAACAUCUGUGAGAUUUUCCAGGGUUGGCUGACAAAGUCUUCCCUGGGCAAAAGACAUUUCUCAUAAUGGUGGAUAAGCUGGUGACUGAGCACAAGAGGACCUGGAACUCGGACCAGCCGCCUCGAGACCUGACUGAUGCCUUUAUGGCUGAGAUGGAGAAGGCAAAGGGAAACCCUGAGAGUAGCUUCAAUGAUGCAAAUCUAUGUCUGGUUGUCCUUGACCUGCUGGGUGCUGCAACUGUGACCACCUCAACCACACUGUCCUGGGCCCUGCUGCUUAUGAUCCUGCAUCCGGAUGUGCAGUGCCAAGUACAACAGGAAAUCGAUGAGGUCAUUUGGUAUGUGUGGCUUCCAGAGAUGGCAGACCAGGUCUGCAUGCCCUUCACCAAUGCUGUCAUUCAUGAGGUACAGUGCUUACAGUUACUGGGAUAUCAUCCCAAUAACUUUGCCACACAGGACUUCUCGUGACAUUGAAGUGUGGGGCUUUCUUAUCCCUAAGGUAGGUCUGGGUCUCUCCAGUGUCUAGUCAGUGUUGCCAGCUACCCGCUGACUUGAUCUGCCCAGUUAAGAAGGACUAGAUUACAGGCAUUCCAAUUCUCAACUCAAGGGAACCAACAUCCCCUGGGUAAAUAUGGGAAUAGAAACAAGAGCAAUAACUGCUUUAGAAUCCCUACCUAGAAAUGCAGGCAAGGUAAAAUAUGGCAGGAGUGGUUGUAACAGCCACUACCUACAAAUACAGGUCACAGUGUGUACAUCUGUCCCAUCACAUUUCCAUGUCACAGUAUUAAUGAAAUCUGUGAAGCUUCUGUGGUUAGUUUAUAUGACAGCAUCCAGUGUGUGUGUGGUACAGGCUGUGCCUGUGAAUGUCGUGACUAGUAAGGGUCUAGUAAAACUCACCCUGUUCAUGUUCACACAAUGUGCUUCAUGCCAGGGCAUGACUCUCAUCUCCAACCUGUUCCGUGCUGAAGGAUGAGACUGUCUGGGAGAAGCCCCUUCGCUUCCAUCCUGAACACUUCCUGGAUGCCCAGGGCCACUUUGUGAAGCCUGAGGCCUUCAUGCCAUUCUCAGCAGGUGCCUCUAGGGUGCCUUCCUGCCUAUCUUUCCCUAGGGUGCCUUGGAGGGUGGAGCACCAAUCAGGUCCCAGACUGAGCCCUCUUCUACACAUAGGCCACAGAUCAUGCCUGGGGGAGCCCCUGGCCCUCAUGGAGCUCUUCCUCUUCUUCACCUGCCUCCUGCAGCGCUUUAGCUUCUCAAUGCCAGCUGGACAAUCCCUUCCCAGUGAUUAUGGCAUCUAUACAAUGCCAGUUACUCCAGCACCUACCAGCUCUGUGCAGUGGUUUGCUAGCAGGGGCAGUGGCUCCAGCCAUCAUCACAGAUUGUUCUGACUGAUGUCCAAUAAACAAGUUUUGUGUCUGAAUCUCAGAUUCUAAGUCCAA